rnacentral:rRNA from 1 species
GAAUAUUGGACAAUGGGCGCAAGCCUGAUCCAGCCAUACCGCGUGGGUGAAGAAGGCCUUCGGGUUGUAAAGCCCUUUUGUUGGGAAAGAAAUCCUGUCGAUUAAUACUCGGUGGGGAUGACGGUACCCAAAGAAUAAGCACCGGCUAACUUCGUGCCAGCAGCCGCGGUAAUACGAAGGGUGCAAGCGUUACUCGGAAUUACUGGGCGUAAAGCGUGCGUAGGUGGUGGUUUAAGUCUGCUGUGAAAGCCCUGGGCUCAACCUGGGAAUUGCAUUGGAUACUGGCGGGCUAGAGUGCGGUAGAGGAUGGCGGAAUUCCCGGUGUAGCAGUGAAAUGCGUAGAGAUCGGGAGGAACAUCCGUGGCGAAGGCGGCCAUCUGGACCAGCACUGACACUGAGGCACGAAAGCGUGGGGAGCAAAC